CAGCAGCCGCGGUAAUCCGAAGGGUGCAAGCGUUAAUCGGAAUUACUGGGCGUAAAGCGUGCGUAGGCGGUGAGUUAAGUCUGCUGUGAAAUCCCCGGGCUCAACCUGGGAAUGGCAGUGGAUACUGGCUCGCUAGAGUGUGUCAGAGGAUGGUGGAAUUCCCGGUGUAGCGGUGAAAUGCGUAGAGAUCGGGAGGAACAUCAGUGGCGAAGGCGGCCAUCUGGGACAACACUGACGCUGAGGCACGAAAGCGUGGGGAGCAAACAGGAUUAGAUACCCGCGUAGUCCCUGUCUCUUAUAC
rnacentral:rRNA from 1 species